CAAGCCUGGACAAAUUGGGCAGGCUGGCGAGCGAUGCAGGGACUGUCACCAGAAGAUUGCUGUGAAGAUGCAGCCGCCGCAGAGACUUCAAAUUGGCUGCAGAAAACAGGUACCUAAACAAUCUGGGAUGCUUGACAGCCGAUUCCCAGAGAGAUCCAGUUCUGUGCAGCUGUGCAGAUUUCCAACCUCUUCAGGGAGAUGUUCCAACACAUUUUCUGAGAGAUCCAGUUCCUCCAGUGCUGCCAGCUCCCCAAUGCUCUGAGCUGUGCAAAAAUUGCUCUUCUUCUAGAGGAUGGAUAAAGAAAGUGUUGCAGCAUCAACCUAACCAGGCUCCAAAAACCGGUCCUGACGCAGCUGUAGAGGCAAAGGAAGAAUAUAAGUAUCUAGAAGCUGAUUCUUGUUGAAAUCUGCGUGCAGCUCUGAGCAAGACUAAGAGCUGAUGCCCUGGCUUGGGGCACUGGAGCAAAAAAGCUCUAAGGCAGCUUGCUCUGCAGAUAUGGAAAGAUGGAAAAACACAAACAUGAAGCUAGGCGAUGGG